AGCCAGUCCUCUUCAAGGUUCAGGAAAGCUGCCUGGAGCAGAAGGAGUCUCAAAAUUCACGGGCACCACUUGCACUGCAGCUGAGGAUCUCCAGACAGCAGCAUCCCCACCCCCAGGUGGUAUGCUCUGCGGCAAUAGGAAUGGCUCGGCUACAGCAUUAAAGCACAUUCUGUUUCUAGGGGAGCAUGGCAACAGAGCCCCAGCUGUCAGGCCAUUCUCCCUAUCUCAACAUGUUCUAGUGAUCCCAGCUGUUCUAGUGAUUAUAGAGAACUACAAGCAAGAGGGGCGCUGGGGGAAGGUCAGUUCGAUGCUUUCUGGAGAACUAUCCUUCCAAGGUGGAGGAUCCCAUCUUGGAUACCACAUUACCUUAAACACUGCCUCAGCCAGGUGAUCAAGGUCAACGUCUACUGUGAUAAGUCAUGGUUUUGGUGUGUACCCUUGAUGUGAUGUGAUAAAAAUGGCACUUUACCUCUGUGGUCUUCCUCUGAAAAAUCCCGUAACAGCAGCCUAAUCAUGAGAAGCACAUCAACAAAACUCAAACUCAGGGACAUUCUACAAAAUACCAGGCUGUCCCUCCCCGAAAUUGUCAAGUUCACCAAAAACAAGGUGAAUCUAAGAAACCUGUUACAGCCAAGAGGAGCCUAAGAAGACAUGAGGACUAAAUAUAACAUGGAAUUCGGGAUAGGAUUGUGCUACAGAAAAUGUACGUGCUAAUGUGAGAUGUUAACAAUUGGAGAAACUCA